AGGCACUUUUUCCAGUUGCUCUUCUGCUGCUGGCGUGAUGGAUGGCACAGGCAGCUCUGCUGCAGGAAUGUGGCCACGGGCUGCAGGGAAAGGAGGGAAAUGCUGGAGCAUCCACAGGUGGUGAGGCUGGCUCAGGUGGGCGGGGGCCACUGGGCACUUCCCUUCCCAGGAGGUGCAGGGACACCGAGCCCUGCGUUGGAACCUGAUUCCCCCCUUCUCUCUGACAGAGCCACUUAUUCCUGAGGGGUUUGGGGCCACUCCUUUCACCACAAGCAGAGCCCAGCUGUGUCCCUGAAGACGUCCUCCUCUGACCUGGCCAUCCUGGCUCUGAUAGCAACUCACUGCAAUUCAAUCAAAACGUCUUUCAAAGGAAGAUGCUCGAUUAAGGGCCCGGGAGACUUUGAAAGCGGAGUCAUCCCUGCCAAAGGAAGUCGACACUUCCCAGCUGUUCUUCCACGGAUUCCUCAGCACCAGAAAGGAGGUCUUCAGCUGGGAUUGAGGUAAAUGCUGGUGAUGGGGUGAAGCAGCUACAUUUUCAAGCAUUUGAUGUACCAGUGUUGGAAACACUCUGUGCCACAGCAUAAAUUAAAUUACUGCACUGUGUUUGCUGGAGGACCUCCAUAGCAAUGGUGCUGGUAAGUGUAUUGCAGAGCCCUCACAGCAGCACAGUUCUUUGGGUGCCUGGGUAACUUCUCACUGCUACAAUCCUGAUUUCUCCCCCCCUUUAAUUUCUAUCUUUUUUCUAGCAUGCUUUAUUGCUUCUCCUUACUGAAGCUCAGUGCUUCUUUCUGUCAGGCUGCCUUUAUCCACCAUCUCUCCUAGACUGGUGUUCCAGAUCAGAGGGUUGGCCUGGACUGAAAAAUAAUAAAAGGAAA